ensembl:lncRNA
GCAACACUAAAUAAAUAAAUUCCAACAACCAACAUGUCUUGGCUGAUUGUGUAAAUUUGGUGACGAGGGUUAUAUUGUGUACCUGUGUACAUUGUCAAUUUUAUGCUAAACCACAGUUUAGCAACAAACAAGUACUGUUCAAAUUUUUAAGGUUUUUUUGUUUUUGCAAGUUAUUAUCAAGGGAAAAAAUAUCAAACUGGGGCAUCAUUUUUUUUUUUUUUUUUUUUUUUUAAACAUUUAUUAUUUAUUUAUUUAUUUAUUUAUUUAUUUACAUUUUUAACUUUGAUGCCAUUGAAAUACAACAGAACCCAUUUUGCAGCGAUCAGAGUAGGACUGUGGUUACAUUUGCUUCCUGAGGUGAAGAAAAGUUUUGAGGAACAACUCGUUUCUGAUAAAGAAAGGUUGAGACAAAAGCUUAAAUGGUAUUUUCGAGUUUAUUUUUAUUAAAAGAACACAAGAACUGUUGACUUUUCUGGUGUACAGGGACAUGCUUCUUCCAUUAACAGGGCCCUCUCUGGGCCCCAGAGGUGCUCAUGUAUGUUUGUUGUUGUUGUUGUUGUUGUUGUUUUUCUAAAUGUAACAAAUAUUAUAAACAAAUCAGAACAAUCUUUGCGUACCGAGAGUAAUCGGACCUGAGACGACAGUCGUAAUCGGAGACGUGGGUGGGGUUAAAUAUAUUUACACAGGUUUAGGAGCGGACAACGAAGGGGCUGCUUCCUCUUGCUCUCAGACACUCGGUACACUCUCGCACACAUCUAGCCUGAUUUAAGACAUUCACAGAGUUGAGGGUCUUCCUUUUGGUAAAGAGGGAUCUGGAGGUUUCGAUAUUUAUGUGAACUUCUUGAUCUCGUCAUAGAGGACAAGCACGAAAGCACCGCCCAUUCCUCUCAGCACAUUCGACCAGGCGCCCUUGAAGAAGGCCUUCGGUCCUUCAUCCUUGAUGAUCUUCUUCCAGCAGUCGAUUGUGCCCUUGUACAUGAUGUCAGCUGGGGAAGGGAAGGGGAACGGACAUGUUUAUCGAAACAUCAAUCACACAACGUAUUGUUCGUUAUGCGUGAUCACAGUUUUAGGCUUUGCGACAUCAAGAUCUUUAUAGUCCUUGGAAUUUUUAACCCUAUUGAGUGCUAUGAUCAUACGUGACAAGCUUCGAUGUUCCAGAGUUUCUGUAUGGUGUCACGGUAUUUACACACAAGUUUCAACCAUGAGCAUGAAGGGUACACCAUUGAGUCCCUAAAAGACUGCGGAGACUUUUACGAGUAAGCUCUGCUUACCUCCUUUGCGUCCUGACUGCAUCAUCAUACGACGUCUGACAGUGUCGAAGGGAUAGGAGAUGAUGCCAGCCACAGCAGUGACGGUCUGGGCAAUCAUCCAGCUGAUGACGAUGUGCGUGUUCUUGGGGUCUGGCAGCAUGCCUGCAAGUUGACAUUCAACAAAUUUGCUCUUUAGCACUGGACAGUUUAUUGAUUCCUCGAUGAAGCAAUCAAACAUCAAUU